rnacentral:tRNA from 1 species
GGUGGAGUCGCAUAGCGGCCUAGUGCGCACGCCUCGAAAGCGUGUGAGGGGCAACCCUCCGUGGGUUCAAAUCCCACCUCCACCG